rnacentral:rRNA from 1 species
AGCGAACGCUGGCGGCAGGCCUAACACAUGCAAGUCGAACGGAUCCUUCGGGAUUAGUGGCGGACGGGUGAGUAACACGUGGGAACGUGCCCUUUGGUUCGGAACAACUCAGGGAAACUUGAGCUAAUACCGGAUGUGCCCUUCGGGGGAAAGAUUUAUCGCCAUUGGAGCGGCCCGCGUCUGAUUAGCUUGUUGGUGAGGUAACGGCCCACCAAGGCGACGAUCAGUAGCUGGUCUGAGAGGAUGAUCAGCCACACUGGGACUGAGACACGGCCCAGACUCCUACGGGAGGCAGCAGUGGGGAAUCUUGCGCAAUGGGCGAAAGCCUGACGCAGCCAUGCCGCGUGAAUGAUGAAGGUCUUAGGAUUGUAAAAUUCUUUCAGCGGGGACGAUAAUGACGGUACCCGCAGAAGAAGCUCCGGCUAACUUCGUG